UACGUAGGGUGCAAGCGUUAAUCGGAAUUACUGGGCGUAAAGCGUGCGCAGGCGGUUUUGUAAGUCUGUCGUGAAAGCCCCGGGCUCAACCUGGGAAUUGCGAUGGAGACUGCAAGGCUUGAAUCUGGCAGAGGGGGGUAGAAUUCCACGUGUAGCAGUGAAAUGCGUAGAGAUGUGGAGGAACACCGAUGGCGAAGGCAGCCCCCUGGGCCUGUACUGACGCUCAUGCACGAAAGCGUGGGGAGCAAACAGG
rnacentral:rRNA from 1 species